GGCUGGCCUUGAACUCCUGGCUUCAAACAGUCUUCCCACUUGGGCUCCCAAAGUGCUGGGAUUAAAGGGGCGAGUUACAGCACCAGGACCUGAAAUGCAUCAUGUGUCAUUCUCACAGCUGUUAGGACUUCAAUGAUGUUAUAAGGAAGUUGGGGCUCAGAGAAGCUACAGAACUUACCCAAGGACACACAGCCAUCACGUCUUCCAAUUAAGAGGAACUGUGUUUGAAGAGGUAUUAUUAAAGAACCACCCCUGAGAAGCUUUAUUUUCCCCUGGACCCAAUUUAGAGAAUGACAUACUGGACUUCUGGCUGAUGCUGUAAUGGGGUAAGACUUUGGGGGACCUUAGGAGGCAGGUGAGUGAACUUUGCAUGUGUGAGAGAUAUAAAUUAUUGGGAUUGAUAUUUUUUCUUUUUAAAAUAGUUCAUUUUUAAUUGCUGUAGAUGCACAAGUUAUACAUAUUUAUAGGGUACUUGUGACAUUGAUACAAGCCUACGACAUGUAAUGAUCAAACUGGGGUGAUUAGGGUAUCCAUCACCUCAAGCACUUAUCAUUUCUUUGUGCUAGGAACAUCCCAAUCUCACUCUUUUAAUUAAUUUGAAAUACAAAAUAAAUCUUUCUUAACUAUAGUUGCCCUAUUGUGCUACUGAAAACUAGAUCUUAUUCUUUCUGUCUGAUUGUAUUUUUUGUACCCAUCAAUCAUCCCCUGUUUAGCCCUCCUCUCCACUACCCUUCCCAGCCUCUGGUAACCAACCCUUCCCAGCCUCUGGUAACCAU